UACGUAGGGGGCGAGCGUUGUCCGGAAUUAUUGGGCGUAAAGAGCGUGUAGGCGGUUCGGUAAGUCUGCCGUGAAAACCUGGGGCUCAACCCCGGGCGUGCGGUGGAUACUGCCGGGCUAGAGGGUGGUAGAGGCGAGUGGAAUUCCCGGUGUAGCGGUGAAAUGCGCAGAUAUCGGGAGGAACACCGGUGGCGAAGGCGGCAUCCUGGACCGGUAUUGACGCUGAGGCGCGAAAGCCAGGGGAGCAAACGGG
rnacentral:rRNA from 1 species